GACGAACGCUGGCGGCGUGCUUAACACAUGCAAGUCGAACGAUGAAGCGGCCAGCUUGCUGGUGGUGGAUUAGUGGCGAACGGGUGAGUAACACGUGAGUAACCUGUCCUUCACUCUGGGAUAAGCCCUGGAAACGGGGUCUAAUACUAGAUAUUCUCAAUGUGCCGCAUGGUGUGUUGUGGAAAGAUUUUUUGGUGAGGGUUGGACUCGCGGCCUAUCAGCUUGUUGGUGGGGUAGUGGCCUACCAAGGCUUUGACGGGUAGCCGGCCUGAGAGGGUGACCGGCCACACUGGGACUGAGACACGGCCCAGACUCCUACGGGAGGCAGCAGUGGGGAAUAUUGCACAAUGGGCGCAAGCCUGAUGCAGCAACGCCGCGUGCGGGAUGACGGCCUUCGGGUUGUAAACCGCUUUUAGUAAGGAAGAAGGGGCUUCGGCCUUGACGGUACUUGCAGAAAAAGGACCGGCUAACUACGUGCCAGCCGCCGCAGUAAAAC
rnacentral:rRNA from 1 species